UACAGAGGUCUCAAGCGUUGUUCGGAUUCAUUGGGCGUAAAGGGUGCGUAGGUGGCUUGGUAAGUUGAAGGUGAAAUCUCGGAGCUCAACUCCGAAACUGCCUUCAAUACUGCUGAGCUCGAGGACUGUAGAGGAGAAUGGAAUUCACGGUGUAGCAGUGAAAUGCGUAGAUAUCGUGAGGAAGACCAGUGGCGAAGGCGAUUCUCUGGGCAGUUCCUGACACUGAGGCACGAAGGCUAGGGGAGCAAACGGG
rnacentral:rRNA from 1 species